AUUAACGCUAGCGGCAGGCAUAAUACAUGCAAGUUGAACGGCAGCACAGGUAGCAAUACCGGGUGGCGAGUGGCGCACGGGUGCGUAACACGUAUGCAACCUACCCUAUACAGGCGAAUAACCUUUAGAAAUGAGGGCUAAUACGCCGUGGUAUUAUCUUGAGGCAUCUUGAGAUAAUUAAAGAUUUAUCGGUAUAGGAUGGGCAUGCGUCCCAUUAGUUAGUUGGUAGGGUAACGGCCUACCAAGGCUAUGAUGGGUAGGGG
rnacentral:rRNA from 1 species